ensembl:lncRNA
GAGACAAAAGAAUUUUUUUCUUAAGUGAAAUAGCAGGAAGCUCCUCGGGGCAUGUGUUUUGAGUAACCACAGAUGAUGGAUGCUACGAGUAUAAAUGGAUUAACUACCUCAAUCCUCACAGUGAGAUUAGAACGAGGGCUGGGACUGGUACAGCUUCUGCAGUCUGCCCCCCUGGCUUGCCCCACCCCGCACCUUGUUCCUGUCAGUGAGUUCCUGUCUGUGCUCUCCCUGUUGCUUCUCAGCCAGGUGACUUCACUCAGCCCCACGGAACAAAGGCUUUGUGUGUGUGGCGGUGCUGAAGUCUGGACUCACCGUUUCAACCUGUGGAGGGUGGGGGCGAGGGCGGGGGGCACUUGCAACCCUUUUGUGUCAAGUUUCUGUAACCUACUGCAGUGUAAAGGUGUUCAGAAUGAAUUUCAGCAGAUAAUGAGUUAGCAG